AUGACUGCAUGUCUUCUACUGGGUUUGUGAUAGGACACAGUGUGAGCGGGUGUGACUGCUUGUUGAAAGGCCAUGCUGUGUUGGUGUGCAGACCCUAAUUCUGCUUAUGGACAGCACGUGUUUGUGCAUGUGCGUCUCCCCAUAACAGUCAGCCUCCCUCCUCAGAGCAGAUGAGACGUGGUCCUCACCAGAUUCUUCAUCCAUAAUGAAGCUGACAGCAGAGGAAGUGACAAACAGUUGCAAUAUGGUACACGGGAUAGUGAGAAGCAGGAGUGUGACAAGCGAGAGGAAAGGUGGUGGAGGUUGAUGCAACAGGACAGAGAUGUGUGGCAGCCAUUUUUAUCCAGCUUUGAAGGAGACACAAAGCAGGACUGAAAGAGAACAUCUUUCAGUUAAGAGCCAUGAGAAAAAGCUUUCUUAAAAGCGCCAUCUCUAACCAGGGUGACCCCCGGCUUAGCUCCAGCAACCUCAUGACCCUGGAAGUGAUUCAGCCAGUUUAGGAAAUGGCAACAAUAAAUAAUAAAACUCAUCAGAUGAACAAAUAUGUGUGUCUUGUCAG